GAAUUUUGGACAAUGGGCGAAAGCCUGAUCCAGCAAUGCCGCGCGCAGGAUGAAGGCCUUCGGGUUGUAAACAGUUUUUGUACGGAACGAAAAGCUUUGGGUGAAUAACCUGGAGUCAUGACGGUACCGUGAGACUACGAACCGGCUCACUACGUCCCAGCAGCCGCGGUAAUACGUAGGGUGCAAGCGUUAAUCUGAUUUACUGGGCGUAAAGCGUGCGCAGGCGGUUUUGUAAGACAGAGGUGAAAUCCCCGGGCUCAACCUGGGAACUGCCUUUGUGACUGCAAGGCUAGAGUACGGCAGAGGGGGGUGGAAUUCCGCGUGUAGCAGUGAAAUGCGUAGAUAUGCGGAGGAACACCGAUGGCGAAGGCAACCCCCUGGGCCUGUACUGACGCUCAUGCACGAAAGCGUGGGGAGCAAACA
rnacentral:rRNA from 1 species